rnacentral:misc_RNA from 1 species
GCACAUUUUGCUUCCAGCUCGGCCCAACCACCAAAUUGUCCCCCAGUCCUCCCUUUCUCUCUCCGAUACCAAAUUCUCCGGCGAUCUACGGUCAGAGGUGUUCAGUAUGGCGUCAUUCAGAGCAUUCUUGAACAGUCCAGUUGGUCCAAAAACAACUCAUUUCUGGGGACCUGUUGCCAACUGGGGAUUUGUUGUUGCUGGCUUGGUGGACAUGAACAAACCCCCCGAAAUGAUUUCAGGAAAUAUGACAGGAGCUAUGUGUAUAUAUUCAGCAUUGUUCAUGAGGUUU